rnacentral:rRNA from 1 species
UACGGAGGGUGCAAGCAUUAAUCGGAUUUAUUGGGCGUAAAGGGCGCGUAGGCUGGAAGAUAAGUCAGGUGUGAAAUCCCGUGGCUCAACCCCGGAACAGCAUUUGAAACUACCUUUCUAGAGGCUAGAUGGAGAAAACGGAAUUCCACAAGUAGCGGUGAAAUGCGUAGAUAUGUGGAAGAACACCGGUGGCGAAGGCGGUUUUCUAAUUUAGACCUGACGCUGAGGCGCGAAAGCAAGGGGAUCAAACAGG